rnacentral:rRNA from 1 species
UACGUAGGGGGCUAGCGUUGUCCGGAUUUACUGGGCGUAAAGAGCGCGCAGGCUGUCGUUCAAGUCGAGUGUGAAAGCCCCCGGCUCAACUGGGGAGGGUCACUCGAUACUGAUCGACUUGAAGGCAGGAGAGGGAAGCGGAAUUCCCGGUGUAGUGGUGAAAUGCGUAGAUAUCGGGAGGAACACCAGUGGCGAAGGCGGCUUCCUGGCCUGUUCUUGACGCUGAGGCGCGAAAGCUAGGGGAGCAAACGGG